CUUUUGAUGGAACAUCAUUCACCCAUAACUGAUUCAAAGCAUGCACAACAUUCCCAUCUACUAUAGUUGAUUCAACACUAUUUAGAAGGAAUUGAUAUGCCGAAUUCACAGAAAAAUUACCGCUAUGAUCUGGUAUCCAUCUCAUGCUAUCCAUUUUGUCCUGCUUAGGACUACUAUCGGCCAAUAAAUACAAUAACUCUGUUGCUUCUUCUGACUCGGUUGAAGACAAUGUUUCAGCCCAACAAAUAUUCCAAAACCAUUUUCCAUUAUGUUCAAAACCUGUGUCUGCUACAAAACAAUUUGGCAUAGAAGUUUUAAUAUAUAAAGCUGGAUNN
rnacentral:lncRNA from 1 species